CCUACGGGCGGCAGCAGUGGGGAAUAUUGGACAAUGGGGGGAACCCUGAUCCAGCCAUGCCGCGUGUGUGAAGAAGGCCCUCGGGUUGUAAAGCACUUUCAGUGAGGAAGAACGCCUGGUGGUUAAUACCCAUCAGGAAAGACAUCACUCACAGAAGAAGCACCGGCUAACUCCGUGCCAGCAGCCGCGGUAAUACGGAGGGUGCGAGCGUUAAUCGGAAUUACUGGGCGUAAAGCGCGCGUAGGUGGCUUGAUAAGCCGGUUGUGAAAGCCCCGGGCUCAACCUGGGAACGGCAUCCGGAACUGUCAAGCUAGAGUGCAGGAGAGGAAGGUAGAAUUCCCGGUGUAGCGGUGAAAUGCGUAGAGAUCGGGAGGAAUACCAGUGGCGAAGGCGGCCUUCUGGACUGACACUGACACUGAGGUGCGAAAGCGUGGGUAGCAAACAGGAUUGAUACCCGGGUAGUC
rnacentral:rRNA from 1 species